CGUUAUAAUAUACUGUAUUGGACACAUUAAUCCUCUGGGCACUAAUAUGUUUUCUCUCUCUCUCCAAACCGCAAGAUUCUUAAAUUAGCAGCCUCGGGAGCUCAACGUGAUGAAGAAUUAAAGAAAACACAUCAGAAUGUCGCUUUCACCGACCACAGCACAGCGAAAUCUGGAUUCACCCGGGGACUCUUUUAGAAGCACGAUCCUGAAGUCCCUCUUGCAGCCCCGAGUGCAGCACGAAAAGAGGAAAAAUCCUGCCCUUUCCAGACCUGAAGCGAAACACACGAGCAACAAGAAACAAGGAAUCUACUCAGUUUCGAUCCAGUACAAAGCUCAAAAUUGUGCCGACGAUAAAAGCCAAAGUUAGGAGCUGCAGAAGUUUGACACUAGAAUGAAGUUAAGGCACCAAAUUAGCUUUCAAGGAAAGUUGCAUUCGAUCAUAAUAUAGUAUGAAAAAACACUGAUCAGAAGGAACAACACAGAUACAAUAUGUGAAAACGAAUCAGAGAAAAUUUGCCAAUCAGUUUUGUAUCCAGGUUUUUUUAUUCUUAAAUCUCUCUUUCAAGCCACCUUGGUCUUCAUUUGAUUUUGAUUUAAAAAUAACAGAAUCAAUAGAUCAAAGCCAUUUUAGCCAUUUCGGAAAAGGACGGACUACUUAAUUAUUGACAUCAUAGGAUAUGUUGGGACAUAAACUCUCAAAGGGCAGGUGAAAAGAAGACGUUAUUUUUACGGUGAGUUUCAGUUGGAAUUAAAUUAAACCAGUCUCCUAUUUUGCAUGCGGUAGUAGGGGACGGCAUGAAGGUAACCGGGCCAGAUCCUACUCCAGUUAAGGUUUGUCACUGGCGUUCAAUGAAAGCAAGAUGAGUCCAUUCCUUUGAAUUUGAGCGACGGGUAGACUUGUACUUUCAUGUAAUGCUCACAGAGGCUGAGAUUGCAAAGCUUUCCAGCACAGACGUAACUUUCUUACAGCCGGCACACAGGCAGGGUAAAAAGAAGAGAGGAAGACAAUUGUACUAAAUGGAUUUCUUUGCCUUUGCUAAGCAAUCCUGUGCACUAUUCCUAAAAAUGUAUGUUUGAUCCUCUGUCAUCUGCAGACUCCAUUAGGGGCGGCGGUGUAGUGAAAUUGACAGGUCGAUCAAGGCACAUCGUUAAUUUCAAUGACAUCCUCUUGCACU